CUCUGAUACCUCGGAAAUCAUACAGAAUAUGAGGAUAAGAACAUCUGGGGGAAUUUUAUUUUUUUUAAAUCAACGCAUGUUUCCAUAGUGAGAGACAUGAGAGGAUCUGUUCCAGAGCAACCACUGUUUGUUCACAGUUCCUUUUAGAAUGUCAUCUCUGGGUGACAUUGUGGCAUGUAAAUAAUACUGUAUGUCCUGGGAUGACACAUUAAUUUGCUCGCACUAUCCCAGAAACCACGAUCUGUCUAGCAACCACAGAGUUUACUUAUAUUGACUUGUUAUUACAAAGUGCAAUAUUAACCUCUUUACAACCAAAGAUGGCCUCCUCUGUCAUAAUCUAGUCUCUUUUAAAGAUCCUAUUAAUAAGUAGAAAUACCCAACAUAUA